CACAAGGGGUGAAGCCUGCGGUUCAAUUGGAGUCAACGCCAGAAAUCUUACCCGGAGAGACAGCAGAAUGAAGGUCAGGCUGAAGACCUUACCAGACAAGCUGAGAGGUGGUGCAUGGCCGUCGUCAGCUCGUGCCGUGAGAUGUCCUGUUAAGUCAGGUAACGAGCGAGAUCCCUGCCACUAGUUGCUAUCAUUACUCUCAGGAGAAGUGGAGCGAAUUAGUGGGACCGCUGUAGUAAUAUGGAGGAAGGAAGGGGCCACGGCAGGUCAGUAUGCCCCGAAACUCUGGGGCCACACGCGGGCUGCAAUGGUAGUGACAAUGGGCGCCUAACUCGAAAGAGUGCGGCAAUCCUUAAACGCUACCACAGUUAUGACUGAGGGCUGUAACUCGCCCUCACGAAUAUGGAAUCCCUAGUAACUGCGUGUCAUUAUCGCGCGGUGAAUACGUCCCUGCUCCUUGCACACACCGCCCGUCGUUUCAUCGAAGUUUGCUUUUAGCGAGGUGAUGUUUAAUUGACAUCAUCGAACUUGAGGUAAGCAACGAGGGAAAAGUCGUAACAAGGUGACCGUAGGGGAACCUGCGGUCGGAUCACCUCCUU
rnacentral:rRNA from 1 species